rnacentral:rRNA from 1 species
AGUGAACUCUGGCGGCGUGCCUAAUACAUGCAAGUCGAACGGAGUUGCUCACGGGUGCGUAAUAUAUAGCUAAUCUGCCCCUUGCUGGAGGACAACAGUUAUAAAUGACUGCUAAUACUCCAUAGCAAUGGAUGAGACUAUAUCGUAUCAGCUAGUCGGUGGGGUAACGGCCUACCGAGGGUAUGACCCGUAACUCGUCUGAGAGGAUGAUCAGUCACAUUGGAACUGAGACACGGUCCAAACUCCUACGGGAGGCAGCAGUAGGGGAUAUUGCGCAAUGGGUGAAACCCUGACGCAUCAACGCCGCGUAGAGGAUGACACUUGUCGGUGCGUAAACUCCUUUUGUUAGGGAAGCGGUACCUAUCGAAUAAGCACCGGCUAACUCCGUGCCAGCCGCCGCGGUAAUUC